AGUAUGAAGUUGGAAAUGGCACCCAACGCGCUAUCUAUAUGAUAGUAACCAGAGAUGCAGGAUACGCCGACCUGCCUUAUU
rnacentral:ncRNA from 1 species